rnacentral:misc_RNA from 1 species
AUAAAAGAGAUGAUGCAGGUAUACCUUUAUAAAGACUGGUCUUCUUUAUCGGACCAUUGAGACUUGUUUUUACAAGUGAAUUAGGGUGGUACCACGGCUUUUCGUCCCUUUC